rnacentral:ncRNA from 1 species
UCAGGUGUCCGCCAGGACUUGAUAGGGAAUCCCGUGAAAAUCGGGAGCGGACCCGCCGCCGUAGACCUCUAAAACCUGUUUUCCAAGCGAGCCACUGGGCUUAUUUGUCCGGGAAGGCCGAAAACAGGCGGGGAAAGCCGGAAGACCUGCCCGAAGC